rnacentral:lncRNA from 1 species
UGUUUAAAGAUUCCAAGCUUUUUAAAACAUUGUUAAAGAUUUAAAGUUUAUAUAUAUCUUAACUUAAAAAGAAGAAAACAAUCGAUGGGUCUGUGUGCUUGAUUUUCAGAUAUAAGCCUUUGAAAACAUGGCGAGAAAUGGCUCUUUCUCGAUUUUUCUUGCUAUUUACAUUGCAUUUAACGCUUACGUCCCUUUUAAAAUAUAAGAGGAAUUACCAAGGAUUUUCAAAUAUGGCUUCUAAAACUAUAUAAACUAAACAUAUGAAAAGAAUUUAUGACACUACAUGGGCUAAAUUAUCACAUUUUUAUGACACUACAUGGAUAAAACCAGAGGACCCUGAAUAUUUAACAUAUUUCUAAAACAAGAGGAGCCAACAUUCUUAAUGUAGACAUUAGUUUUGGAGUCCUCUACACUGUCCGUUUUAUAGCUUUGUCGAUGUUUGUUAAAAUCACAUUCAUCGAUUCGAUUUGGAAUAAAAACUUAACAUUAAAAUAUUUGUGGUAUAAUGCAGAAUAAAACAAUAAAA